rnacentral:rRNA from 1 species
UGGGGAAUAUUGCACAAUGGGCGAAAGCCUGAUGCAGCGACGCCGCGUGAAGGGAUGAAGUAUUUCGGUAUGUAAACUUCUAUCAGCAGGGAAGAAAAUGACGGUACCUGACUAAGAAGCCCCGGCUAACCUACGUGCC